UUUUCCUCUCUCCCAUCGUUCCCCAUCUCUCUCAAGCCAUUGAUGGGGGCACCUUUCCUUCGAUCUGCCGGCUUGGUUCUCUGACGAGCUCCCCUUCCACUAUAACCCUCUUAUCCAACCCAAGCUCCUCCAUUCUCCUCCCUCCUUUCCUCCCAUCUCAUCAGCCCACUCCUUUUUCGCUGCGUGCUUCAAGCGAUGGAGGAACAGAUGCAGAGCCCAGCCACCGUCUCUGGAAACGGCGAGCCCAGGCGACACCGGUGAUGCGACCGGCUCCGCGGGCUGCUACAACCGACUUCGCGUGGUGCUACAACCGACUUCGCGUGGUGCUACAACCAGCACGCGGGGAGCUGGAACCGGCUGCUCCAGAGCUGCGACGGCACGUCGCCGUUUGCUGGAACCGACACUGCGGGGAGCUACAACCAGCUUAUCAAUAGCUGCAACCAGCAGUCUGCGGUGCUACAACCAACAGAGGCGGUGGGGAAGAGAGGUAUUUUUGCUGGAACCAUGAGCUGAUUUUGCUACAACCAUGCAAUUUUUUUACUGGAACCAACAAUGGGACCAGCACAACGGGGAGCUGCAUAGGUUGCUUUUGCUGGAACUAUAGUUAUUCUUUGCUGGAACAAGGUCCACGACGAUGGCGAGCUGCGUGCUAUGUUGGGGGGCGAGAGUUGCUGGAACCGGCGUUUGGCUGAGCUGCAUCCGGCAGGGGUGGUGUAGGAGCGACGGCGAGAUGAGGAAGGCAUCUGGCGAUGGAGAAGUCAAGUUGUGGAGAGAGGCGGCGGUGAUCCGGCGAGCGAGCGGAGAUUCGGCGGGUCAUGUCCCCCGUCCAUGGCGCUCGCGCCCCUGUGCGUGCUCCCGUGAUUUGUAGGGGGAAGAAAAGUAAACGGCAUGGUGGGACGAAAGGGUCCUGUAUCUAACGGCUAAAAGCGGUUUCAUCCGACGUCCCGGGUCCGACCGGCCCAAAUUUGGGCCGGCAGACCGACGCCUAAUAGUGCCCAUUCAACUUUGGGUGUUCAAUUUUUUUUCA